GACGAACCGUGCGAACGUUGUUCGGAAUCACUGGGCUUAAAGGGUGCGUAGGCGGACGAGCAAGUCCGGGGUGAAAUCUUUCGGCUCAACCGGAAAAGUGCCUUGGAUACUGCUCGCCUUGAGUGAGGUAGGGGCAUGUGGGAACUUCCGGUGGAGCGGUGAAAUGCGUUGAUAUCGGAAGGAACGCCGGUGGCGAAAGCGACGUGCUGGCCCUCAACUGACGCUGAGGCGCGAAAGCCAGGGGAGCAAACGGG
rnacentral:rRNA from 1 species